AGUCGAACGGUAACAGGUCUUCGGAUGCUGACGAGUGGCGAACGGGUGAGUAAUACAUCGGAACGUGCCCGAUCGUGGGGGAUAACGAGGCGAAAGCUUUGCUAAUACCGCAUACGAUCUACGGAUGAAAGCGGGGGAUCUUCGGACCUCGCGCGGACGGAGCGGCCGAUGGCAGAUUAGGUAGUUGGUGGGAUAAAAGCUUACCAAGCCGACGAUCUGUAGCUGGUCUGAGAGGAUGAUCAGCCACACUGGGACUGAGACACGGCCCAGACUCCUACGGGAGGCAGCAGUGGGGAAUUUUGGACAAUGGGCGAAAGCCUGAUCCAGCCAUGCCGCGUGCAGGAUGAAGGCCUUCGGGUUGUAAACUGCUUUUGUACGGAACGAAAAGCCUCUUUCUAAUAAAGAGGGGUCAUGACGGUACCGUAAGAAUAAGCACCGGCUAACUACGUGCCAGCAGCCGCGGUAAUACGUAGGGUGCAAGCGUUAAUCGGAAUUACUGGGCGUAAAGCGUGCGCAGGCGGUUUUGUAAGACAGAGGUGAAAUCCCCGGGCUCAACCUGGGAACUGCCUUUGUGACUGCAAGGCUGGAGUGCGGCAGAGGGGGAUGGAAUUCCGCGUGUAGCAGUGAAAUGCGUAGAUAUGCGGAGGAACACCGAUGGCGAAGGCAAUCCCCUGGGCCUGCACUGACGCUCAUGCACGAAAGCGUGGGAAGCAAACAGGAUUAGAUACCCUGGUAGUCCACGCCCUAAACGAUGUCAACUGGUUGUUGGGUCUUCACUGACUCAGUAACGAAGCUAACGCGUGAAGUUGACCGCCUGGGGAGUACGGCC
rnacentral:rRNA from 1 species